UCAGUAAUCAGCUGGGAAUCUUGUUAAAAUGAAGAUUCUGACUCAGGUCUGGAGUGGGGCCUGAGAUUCUGCAUUUCUAACAAGUUUCCAUGGUGUGGUU
rnacentral:miRNA from 1 species